AACGAACGCUGGCGGCAUGCCUAACACAUGCAAGUCGAACGAGACCUUCGGGUCUAGUGGCGCACGGGUGCGUAACACGUGGGAAUCUGCCCUUUGCCUCGGAAUAACAGUUAGAAAUGACUGCUAAUACCGGAUGAUGUCGAAAGACCAAAGAUUUAUCGGCAAAGGAUGAGCCCGCGUAGGAUUAGGUAGUUGGUGGGGUAAAGGCCUACCAAGCCGACGAUCCUUAGCUGGUCUGAGAGGAUGAUCAGCCACACUGGGACUGAGACACGGCCCAGACUCCUACGGGAGGCAGCAGUGGGGAAUAUUGGACAAUGGGCGAAAGCCUGAUCCAGCAAUGCCGCGUGAGUGAUGAAGGCCUUAGGGUUGUAAAGCUCUUUUACCAGGGAUGAUAAUGACAGUACCUGGAGAAUAAGCUCCGGCUAACUCCGUG
rnacentral:rRNA from 1 species